rnacentral:rRNA from 1 species
CCUACGGGAGGCUGCAGUCGAGAAUCAUUCACAAUGGGGGAAACCCUGAUGGUGCGACGCCGCGUGGGGGAAUGAAGGUCUUCGGAUUGUAAACCCCUGUCAUGUGGGAGCAAAUUAAAAAGAUAGUACCACAAGAGGAAGAGACGGCUAACUCUGUGCCAGCAGCCGCGGUAAUACAGAGGUCUCAAGCGUUGUUCGGAAUCACUGGGCGUAAAGCGUGCGUAGGCUGUUUCGUAAGUCGUGUGUGAAAGGCGCGGGCUCAACCCGCGGACGGCACAUGAUACUGCGAGACUAGAGUAAUGGAGGGGGAACCGGAAUUCUCGGUGUAGCAGUGAAAUGCGUAGAUAUCGAGAGGAACACUCGUGGCGAAGGCGGGUUCCUGGACAUUAACUGACGCUGAGGCACGAAGGCCAGGGGAGCGAAAGAGAUUAGAUACCCGUGUAGUC